CGGCCCCGAGUGCAGCUCCCCGCGCUCAGCUCCUGGGCCCCGCGCCCAGCUCACGGCUCGCGCGCCAGGGCAGCUGGCGAGGGGAGCUGCAGGACCGCGCGAGGCUGGGGGCCCGCGGGCGCUGCCGCGCGCUGCCGGGCGGGAGGCUGGAGGGCCGGGGGCAUGGCCGCGCCCCGGACCGGGUCGGCCCGGGCCCGGGGGCGGCGGCGGCUCCUCGCGCGGCUCUGGGGGCGCGGACACCCCGGCAGAGCCCC
rnacentral:other from 1 species